rnacentral:rRNA from 1 species
CCUACGGGGGGCAGCAGUGGGGAAUAUUGGACAAUGGGCGAAAGCCUGAUCCAGCAAUGCCGCGUGAGUGAUGAAGGCCUUAGGGUUGUAAAGCUCUUUUAGCAAGGAAGAUAAUGACGGUACUUGCAGAAAAAGCCCCGGCUAACUCCGUGCCAGCAGCCGCGGUAAUACGGAGGGGGCUAGCGUUGUUCGGAAUUACUGGGCGUAAAGGGCGCGUAGGCGGUUUAGUAAGUUAAAAGUGAAAUCCCAGGGCUUAA